CUGAAUAACUGAGCAAAUUGCUUCGGUCUUGCACCGGCAAUAUAUCUUUCAAGUGUCUGCCUUAUCAACUUUCGAUGGUAGUUUAUGUGCCUACCAUGGUUGUAACGGGUAACGGAGAAUUAGGGUUCGACUCCGGAGAGGGAGCCUGAGAAACGGCUACCACUUCUAAGGAAGGCAGCAGGCGCGCAAAUUAUCCACUCUCGGCACGAGGAGAUAGUGACGAAAAAUAACGAGACGGGGCCCUUUAGGGCACCGUCAUCGGAAAUGAGAACAACCUAAAUCCUUUAACGAGGACCUAGCGGAGGGCAAAGUCUGGUGCCAGCAGCCGCGGUAAUUCCAGCUCCGCCAGUGUAUAUCUAUGCUGCUGCGGUUAAAAAG
rnacentral:rRNA from 1 species